rnacentral:rRNA from 1 species
AGCGAACGCUGGCGGCAGGCCUAACACAUGCAAGUCGAACGAACCUUUCGGGGUUAGUGGCGGACGGGUGAGUAACACGUGGGAACGUGCCCUUAGGUUCGGAAUAACUCAGGGAAACUUGUGCUAAUACCGAAUGUGCCCUUCGGGGGAAAGAUUAAUCGCCGUUAGAGCGGCCCGCGUCUGAUUAGCUAGUUGGUUGAGGUAAUGGCUCACCAAGGCGACGAUCAGUAGCUGGUCUGAGAGGAUGAUCAGCCACAUUGGGACUGAGACACGGCCCAAACUCCUACGGGAGGCAGCAGUGGGGAAUCUUGCGCAAUGGGCGAAAGCCUGACGCAGCCAUGCCGCGUGAAUGAUGAAGGUCUUAGGAUUGUAAAAUUCUUUCACCGGGGACGAUAAUGACGGUACCCGGAGAAGAAGCCCCGGCUAACUUCGUG